rnacentral:rRNA from 1 species
AAGACCUUAUGCUUAUGGAGCGGCCGAUGCCUGAUUAGCUUGUUGGUGGGGUAAUGGCCUACCAAGGCGACGAUCAGUAGUUGGUCUGAGAGGACGACCAGCCACACUGGGACUGAGACACGGCCCAGACUCCUACGGGAGGCAGCAGUGGGGAAUUUUGGACAAUGGGCGAAAGCCUGAUCCAGCAAUGCCGCGUGAGUGAAGAAGGCCUUCGGGUUGUAAAGCUCUUUUAGUUAAGAAGAAAAGGUUGUGACUAAUAAUCACAAUUAAUGACGGUAUUAACAGAAAAAGCACCGGCUAACUACGUGCCAGCAGCCGCGGUAAUACGUAGGGUGCAAGCGUUAAUCGGAAUUACUGGGCGUAAAGGGUGCGCAGGCGGUUUUGUAAGUCAGAUGUGAAAUCCCCGGGCUUAACCUGGGAAUU